rnacentral:rRNA from 1 species
UACGUAGGGUGCGAGCGUUGUCCGGAAUUAUUGGGCGUAAAGAGCUCGUAGGCGGUCUGUCGCGUCGAUCGUGAAAACUUGGGGCUUAACCCUGAGCUUGCGGUCGAUACGGGCAUGACUGGAGUUCGGCAGGGGAGACUGGAAUUCCUGGUGUAGCGGUGAAAUGCGCAGAUAUCAGGAGGAACACCGGUGGCGAAGGCGGUUCUCUGGGCCUGUACUGACGCUGAGGAGCGAAAGCGUGGGGAGCGAACAGG